rnacentral:rRNA from 1 species
GUGAGUAACGCGUGGGAACGUACCCUCUUCUGCGGGAUAGCCACUGGAAACGGUGAGUAAUACCGCAUACGCCCUUUGGGGGAAAGAUUUAUCGGAGGAGGAUCGGCCCGCGUUGGAUUAGGUAGUUGGUGGGGUAAUGGCCUACCAAGCCUACGAUCCAUAGCUGGUUUUAGAGGAUGAUCAGCCACACUGGGACUGAGACACGGCCCAGACUCCUACGGGAGGCAGCAGUGGGGAAUCUUAGACAAUGGGCGCAAGCCUGAUCUAGCCAUGCCGCGUGAGUGACGAAGGCCUUAGGGUCGUAAAGCUCUUUCGCCAGAGAUGAUAAUGACAGUAUCUGGUAAAGAAACCCCGGCUAACUCCGUGCCAGCAGCCGCGGUAAUACGGAGGGGGUUAGCGUUGUUCGGAAUUACUGGGCGUAAAGCGCACGUAGGCGGAUUGGAAAGUUGGGGGUGAAAUCCCAGGGCUCAACCCUGGAACGGCCUCCAAAACUCCCAGUCUAGAGUUCGAGAGAGGUGAGUGGAAUUCCGAGUGUAGAGGUGAAAUUCGUAGAUAUUCGGAGGAACACCAGUGGCGAAGGCGGCUCACUGGCUCGAUACUGACGCUGAGGUGCGAAAGUGUGGGGAGCAAACAGGAUUAGAUACCCUGGUAGUCCACACCGUAAACGAUGAAUGCCAGUCGUCGGCAAGCAUGCUUGUCGGU